UUAAAAGGGAGGGCUAAACUGAGGAUCACCACCUCAGACCCAUUAUUCCACACCACUGACCACACCAUGUAUCCUCUGGGUGGUUAGCCCGGCAUCCUGGGUGACUAAACUGGGGCACGCAUACCUUUCGUGCUGCACUUCAGCCAGUUACAUAUGCUCUUAUCUAUGAGCCUCCUCAGGAAUGACCUUGUUUGCAAUAUUUUAUUGCCUACCUCAGUGUGCAUGUUGGCAGUCGAGUUCACUCACCACGCUGCCAUAAACGUAUGUAAACUGCCAUUUGGCAAUCGUUUCAUUACUGUGGGUCUGCAGUGUCAUAAAGGAUUGUUUUUUCCUGUUAUAUAUGCA